GGUGAAAGGAGAAGGUUGGAAGAGAGCGCUGAAAUGGGUUUGAAAAAACCCUCUGUCGUUUACAUACUAAUAGAAUACGGAAAAUUAAAUUCCGUAUUCAAUACGGAAGAUAAAUUUCCGUAUUCUAUUAAAGGGGGGCUUUCCAGUAAUUUCCCCACUU
rnacentral:pre_miRNA from 1 species